GUGCCAGCCGCCGCGGUAAUACGUAGGGGGCGAGCGUUGUCCGGAAUGACUGGGCGUAAAGCGCGCGCAGGCGGUUUUCUACGUCUGGGGUGAAAGCCCGGGGCUCAACUCCGGGACGGCCUUGGAAACGGGGAGACUUGAGGGUCGGAGAGGCAAGGGGAAUUCCACGUGUAGCGGUGAAAUGCGUAGAGAUGUGGAGGAACACCAGUGGCGAAGGCGCCUUGCUGGACGAAACCUGACGCUGAGGCGCGAAGGCGUGGGGAGCAAACAGGAUUAGAUACCCUGGUAGUCCACGCGGUAAACGAUGCGUGCCAGGUGUCGGAGGGUACCACCUCCGGUGCCGAAGGAAACCCAAUAAGCACGCCGCCUGGGGAGUACGGUCGCAAGACUGAAACUCAAAGGAAUUGACGGGGGCCCGCACAAGCAGUGGAGCAUGUGGUUUAAUUCGAAGCAACGCGAAGAACCUUACCAGGGCUUGACAUCGGUUGGACGGGCCGGGAGACCGGUCUUCCCGCAAGGGCCAACGGACAGGUGGUGCAUGGUUGUCGUCAGCUCGUGUCGUGAGAUGUUGGGUUAAGUCCCGCAACGAGCGCAACCCUUGAUCGAUGUUGCCAGCACGCAGCGGUGGGGACUCAUCGAUGACUGCCGGUGACAAACCGGAGGAAGGCGGGGAUGACGUCAAAUCAUCAUGCCCCUGAUGUCCUGGGCGACACACGUGCUACAAUGGGCGGGACAACGGGAGGCGAAGGCGCGAGCCGGAGCGAACCCCUUAAAGCCGUUCGUAGUUCGGAUUGCAGGCUGCAACUCGCCUGCAUGAAGCCGGAAUUGCUAGUAAUCGCGGAUCAGCAUGCCGCGGUGAAUCCGUUCCCGGGGCCUUUGUACACACCGCCCGUCACACCACGAGAGUGGGUAACACCCGAAGUCGGGGAGGUAACCCGCAAGGGGGCCAGCCGCCGAAGGUGGGAUUCGCGAUGGGGGUGAAGUCGUAACAAGGUAACC
rnacentral:rRNA from 1 species